rnacentral:rRNA from 1 species
CAUGACCUCAGAUCAGAGCGAGCGAU